rnacentral:tRNA from 1 species
GAGGGUAUAGCUCAGGUGACAGAGCACAUGCCUAGCAUGCACAAGGUCCUGGGUUCAACCCCCAGCACCUCCU